rnacentral:rRNA from 1 species
AUUGAACGCUGGCGGCAUGCUUUACACAUGCAAGUCGGACGAGUGGCGAACGGGUGAGUAACGCAUCGGAACGUCCCGAGUAAUGGGGGAUAACUGUCCGAAAGGACCGCUAAUAACGCAUAUUAUUCGAGCGGCCGAUGUCUUAUUGGCUGGUUGGCGGGGUAAAGGCGCACCAAGGGGACGAUCAGUAGCGGGUCUGAGAGGAUGAUCCGCACAACUGGGACUGAGACACGGCCAAGACUCCUAGGGAGGGCAGCAGGGGGGAAGUUUGGACAAGGGGCGAAAGCCUGAUCCACCCAUGCGGGGUGUCUGAAGAGGGCCUUCGGGUUGUAAAGGACUUUUGUCAGGGAAGGGGUACCUGAAGAAAAAGCCCCGGCUAAUAACUUGCCAGCAGCCGCGGUAAUA